UUGGUGAAAAGUAAACAAAUGGGUUGCCUCCCAUUUAACGCUUUGUUUAACGUCGUUAAGCUCGCCAUUUUCCUGUCAGAUUUUUGGCUCUUCCAACCCGAUUUCUUCAAUUAGUCUGAUUGGUGUGCUCUCGAAGAAAGAUUUUAGCCGUUGUCCAUUAACUUUAAAUCGUGCACCUGAGCUAUCUUCAAUUUCCACGGCUCCAUGAGGAAAAACAUUGAUCACGGUAAAUGGUCCGCU
rnacentral:lncRNA from 1 species